GAUGAACGCUAGCGGCAGGCCUAAUACAUGCAAGUCGAACGGUGUCUUCGGACAUAGUGGCGCACGGGUGCGUAACACGUAUGCAACCUACCUUACAUUGGGGGAUAGCCUUUCGAAAGGGAGAUUAAUACCGCAUAAGACAGUAGCUGGGCAUCCAGCAGCUGUUAAAGAUUUAUCGAUGUAAGCUGGGCAUGCGUCCAAUUAGCUAGUUGGUGAGGUAACGGCUCACCAAGGCAAUGAUUGGUAGGGGAACUGAGAGGUCAAUCCCCCACACAGGCACUGUGAUACGGGCCAGACUCCUACGGGAGGCAGCAGUAGGGAAUAUUGGGAAAUGGACGCAAGUCUGACCCAGCCAUGCCGCGGGCAGGAUGAAGGCGUUAUGCGUUGUAAACUGCUUUUAUACAGGAAGAAACGACUCUUGCGAGAGGCAUUGACGGUACUGUAUGAAUAAGCACCGGCUAACUCCGUGCCAGCCGCCGCCGUAAGAC
rnacentral:rRNA from 1 species